GGGCGGCUAGCUCAGCUGGGAGAGCGCUGCGUUCGCAAUGCAGAGGUCGGGAGUUCGAUCCUCCCGCCGUCCACCA
rnacentral:tRNA from 1 species